UACGGAGGGACUAGGCGUUGUUCGGAAUUACUGGGCGUAAAGCGCACGUAGGCGGAUUUGUAAGUCAGGGGUGAAAUCCCGGGGCUCAACCUCGGAACUGCCUUUGAUACUGCCAAAUCUCGAGUCCGGAAGAGGUGAGUGGAAAUUCCUAGUGUAGAGGUGAAAUUCGUAGAUAUUAGGAAGAACACCAGUGGCGAAGGGCGGACUCACUGGUCCGGUACUGACGCUGAGACGCGAAAGCGUGGGGAGCGAACGAGGAAUUAUGAA
rnacentral:rRNA from 1 species